rnacentral:lncRNA from 1 species
GCCAGCGCAGGGGCUUCUGCUGAGGGGGCAGGCGGAGCUUGAGGAAACCGCAGAUAAGUUUUUUUCUCUUUGAAAGAUAGAGAUUAAUACAACUACUUAAAAAAUAUAGUCAAUAGGUUACUAAGAUAUUGCUUAGCGUUAAGUUUUUAACGUAAUUUUAAUAGCUUAAGAUUUUAAGAGAAAAUAUGAAGACUUAGAAGAGUAGCAUGAGGAAGGAAAAGAUAAAAGGUUUCUAAAACAUGACGGAGGUUGAGAUGAAGCUUCUUCAUGGAGUAAAAAAUGUAUUUAAAAGAAAAUUGAGAGAAAGGACUACAGAGCCCCGAAUUAAUACCAAUAGAAGGGCAAUGCUUUUAGAUUAAAAUGAAGGUGACUUAAACAGCUUAAAGUUUAGUUUAAAAGUUGUAGGUGAUUAAAAUAAUUUGAAGGCGAUCUUUUAAAAAGAGAUUAAACCGAAGGUGAUUAAAAGACCUUGAAAUCCAUGACGCAGGGAGAAUUGCGUCAUUUAAAGCCUAGUUAACGCAUUUACUAAACGCAGACGAAAAUGGAAAGAUUAAUUGGGAGUGGUAGGAUGAAACAAUUUGGAGAAGAUAGAAGUUUGAAGUGGAAAACUGGAAGACAGAAGUACGGGAAGGCGAAGAAAAGAAUAGAGAAGAUAGGGAAAUUAGAAGAUAAAAACAUACUUUUAGAAGAAAAAAGAUAAAUUUAAACCUGAAAAGUAGGAAGCAGAAGAAAAAAGACAAGCUAGGAAACAAAAAGCUAAGGGCAAAAUGUACAAACUUAGAAGAAAAUUGGAAGAUAGAAACAAGAUAGAAAAUGAAAAUAUUGUCAAGAGUUUCAGAUAGAAAAUGAAAAACAAGCUAAGACAAGUAUUGGAGAAGUAUAGAAGAUAGAAAAAUAUAAAGCCAAAAAUUGGAUAAAAUAGCACUGAAAAAAUGAGGAAAUUAUUGGUAACCAAUUUAUUUUAAAAGCCCAUCAAUUUAAUUUCUGGUGGUGCAGAAGUUAGAAGGUAAAGCUUGAGAAGAUGAGGGUGUUUACGUAGACCAGAACCAAUUUAGAAGAAUACUUGAAGCUAGAAGGGGAAGUUGGUUAAAAAUCACAUCAAAAAGCUACUAAAAGGACUGGUGUAAUUUAAAAAAAACUAAGGCAGAAGGCUUUUGGAAGAGUUAGAAGAAUUUGGAAGGCCUUAAAUAUAGUAGCUUAGUUUGAAAAAUGUGAAGGACUUUCGUAACGGAAGUAAUUCAAGAUCAAGAGUAAUUACCAACUUAAUGUUUUUGCAUUGGACUUUGAGUUAAGAUUAUUUUUUAAAUCCUGAGGACUAGCAUUAAUUGACAGCUGACCCAGGUGCUACACAGAAGUGGAUUCAGUGAAUCUAGGAAGACAGCAGCAGACAGGAUUCCAGGAACCAGUGUUUGAUGAAGCUAGGACUGAGGAGCAAGCGAGCAAGCAGCAGUUCGUGGUGAAGAUAGGAAAAGAGUCCAGGAGCCAGUGCGAUUUGGUGAAGGAAGCUAGGAAGAAGGAAGGAGCGCUAACGAUUUGGUGGUGAAGCUAGGAAAAAGGAUUCCAGGAAGGAGCGAGUGCAAUUUGGUGAUGAAGGUAGCAGGCGGCUUGGCUUGGCAACCACACGGAGGAGGCGAGCAGGCGUUGUGCGUAGAGGAUCCUAGACCAGCAUGCCAGUGUGCCAAGGCCACAGGGAAAGCGAGUGGUUGGUAAAAAUCCGUGAGGUCGGCAAUAUGUUGUUUUUCUGGAACUUACUUAUGGUAACCUUUUAUUUAUUUUCUAAUAUAAUGGGGGAGUUUCGUACUGAGGUGUAAAGGGAUUUAUAUGGGGACGUAGGCCGAUUUCCGGGUGUUGUAGGUUUCUCUUUUUCAGGCUUAUACUCAUGAAUCUUGUCUGAAGCUUUUGAGGGCAGACUGCCAAGUCCUGGAGAAAUAGUAGAUGGCAAGUUUGUGGGUUUUUUUUUUUUACACGAAUUUGAGGAAAACCAAAUGAAUUUGAUAGCCAAAUUGAGACAAUUUCAGCAAAUCUGUAAGCAGUUUGUAUGUUUAGUUGGGGUAAUGAAGUAUUUCAGUUUUGUGAAUAGAUGACCUGUUUUUACUUCCUCACCCUGAAUUCGUUUUGUAAAUGUAGAGUUUGGAUGUGUAACUGAGGCGGGGGGGAGUUUUCAGUAUUUUUUUUUGUGGGGGUGGGGGCAAAAUAUGUUUUCAGUUCUUUUUCCCUUAGGUCUGUCUAGAAUCCUAAAGGCAAAUGACUCAAGGUGUAACAGAAAACAAGAAAAUCCAAUAUCAGGAUAAUCAGACCACCACAGGUUUACAGUUUAUAGAAACUAGAGCAGUUCUCACGUUGAGGUCUGUGGAAGAGAUGUCCAUUGGAGAAAUGGCUGGUAGUUACUCUUUUUUCCCCCCACCCCCUUAAUCAGACUUUAAAAGUGCUUAACCCCUUAAACUUGUUAUUUUUUACUUGAAGCAUUUUGGGAUGGUCUUAACAGGGAAGAGAGAGGGUGGGGGAGAAAAUGUUUUUUUCUAAGAUUUUCCACAGAUGCUAUAGUACUAUUGACAAACUGGGUUAGAGAAGGAGUGUACCGCUGUGCUGUUGGCACGAACACCUUCAGGGACUGGAGCUGCUUUUAUCCUUGGAAGAGUAUUCCCAGUUGAAGCUGAAAAGUACAGCACAGUGCAGCUUUGGUUCAUAUUCAGUCAUCUCAGGAGAACUUCAGAAGAGCUUGAAUAACAUCUUCUGAGUCAUAACCAGCCUGGCAGUAUGAUGGCCUAGAUGCAGAGAAAACAGCUCCUUGACAGGUAUCUCUUCGUUAUCAGAAGAGUUGCUUCAUUUCAUCUGGGAGCAGAAAACAGCAGGCAGCUGUUAACAGAUAAGUUUAACUUGCAUCUGCAGUAUUGCAUGUUAGGGAUAAGUGCUUAUUUUUAAGAGCUGUGGAGUUCUUAAAUAUCAACCAUGGCACUUUCUCCUGACCCCUUCCCUAGGGGAUUUCAGGAUUGAGAAAUUUUUCCAUCGAGCCUUUUUAAAAUUGUAGGACUUGUUCCUGUGGGCUUCAGUGAUGGGAUAGUACACUUCACUCAGAGGCAUUUGCAUCUUUAAAUAAUUUCUUAAAAGCCUCUAAAGUGAUCAGUGCCUUGAUGCCAACUAAGGAAAUUUGUUUAGCAUUGAAUCUCUGAAGGCUCUAUGAAAGGAAUAGCAUGAUGUGCUGUUAGAAUCAGAUGUUACUGCUAAAAUUUACAUGUUGUGAUGUAAAUUGUGUAGAAAACCAUUAAAUCAUUCAAAAUAAUAAACUAUUUUUAUUAGAGAAUGUAUACUUUUAGAAAGCUGUCUCCUUAUUUAAAUAAAAUAGUGUUUGUCUGUAGUUCAGUGUUGGGGCAAUCUUGGGGGGGAUUCUUCUCUAAUCUUUCAGAAACUUUGUCUGCGAACACUCUUUAAUGGACCAGAUCAGGAUUUGAGCGGAAGAACGAAUGUAACUUUAAGGCAGGAAAGACAAAUUUUAUUCUUCAUAAAGUGAUGAGCAUAUAAUAAUUCCAGGCACAUGGCAAUAGAGGCCCUCUAAAUAAGGAAUAAAUAACCUCUUAGACAGGUGGGAGAUUAUGAUCAGAGUAAAAGGUAAUUACACAUUUUAUUUCCAGAAAGUCAGGGGUCUAUAAAUUGACAGUGAUUAGAGUAAUACUUUUUCACAUUUCCAAAGUUUGCAUGUUAACUUUAAAUGCUUACAAUCUUAGAGUGGUAGGCAAUGUUUUACACUAUUGACCUUAUAUAGGGAAGGGAGGGGGUGCCUGUGGGGUUUUAAAGAAUUUUCCUUUGCAGAGGCAUUUCAUCCUUCAUGAAGCCAUUCAGGAUUUUGAAUUGCAUAUGAGUGCUUGGCUCUUCCUUCUGUUCUAACUUCACAGAGAAUGCAGUUGUCUUGACUUCAGGUCUGUCUGUUCUGUUGGCAAGUAAAUGCAGUACUGUUCUGAUCCCGCUGCUAUUAGAAUGCAUUGUGAAACGACUGGAGUAUGAUUAAAAGUUGUGUUCCCCAAUGCUUGGAGUAGUGAUUGUUGAAGGAAAAAAUCCAGCUGAGUGAUAAAGGCUGAGUGUUGAGGAAAUUUCUGCAGUUUUAAGCAGUCGUAUUUGUGAUUGAAGCUGAGUACAUUUUGCUGGUGUAUUUUUAGGUAAAAUGCUUUUUGUUCAUUUCUGGUGGUGGGAGGGGACUGAAGCCUUUAGUCUUUUCCAGAUGCAACCUUAAAAUCAGUGACAAGAAACAUUCCAAACAAGCAACAGUCUUCAAGAAAUUAAACUGGCAAGUGGAAAUGUUUAAACAGUUCAGUGAUCUUUAGUGCAUUGUUUAUGUGUGGGUUUCUCUCUCCCCUCCCUUGGUCUUAAUUCUUACAUGCAGGAACACUCAGCAGACACACGUAUGCGAAGGGCCAGAGAAGCCAGACCCAGUAAGAAAAAAUAGCCUAUUUACUUUAAAUAAACCAAACAUUCCAUUUUAAAUGUGGGGAUUGGGAACCACUAGUUCUUUCAGAUGGUAUUCUUCAGACUAUAGAAGGAGCUUCCAGUUGAAUUCACCAGUGGACAAAAUGAGGAAAACAGGUGAACAAGCUUUUUCUGUAUUUACAUACAAAGUCAGAUCAGUUAUGGGACAAUAGUAUUGAAUAGAUUUCAGCUUUAUGCUGGAGUAACUGGCAUGUGAGCAAACUGUGUUGGCGUGGGGGUGGAGGGGUGAGGUGGGCGCUAAGCCUUUUUUUAAGAUUUUUCAGGUACCCCUCACUAAAGGCACCGAAGGCUUAAAGUAGGACAACCAUGGAGCCUUCCUGUGGCAGGAGAGACAACAAAGCGCUAUUAUCCUAAGGUCAAGAGAAGUGUCAGCCUCACCUGAUUUUUAUUAGUAAUGAGGACUUGCCUCAACUCCCUCUUUCUGGAGUGAAGCAUCCGAAGGAAUGCUUGAAGUACCCCUGGGCUUCUCUUAACAUUUAAGCAAGCUGUUUUUAUAGCAGCUCUUAAUAAUAAAGCCCAAAUCUCAAGCGGUGCUUGAAGGGGAGGGAAAGGGGGAAAGCGGGCAACCACUUUUCCCUAGCUUUUCCAGAAGCCUGUUAAAAGCAAGGUCUCCCCACAAGCAACUUCUCUGCCACAUCGCCACCCCGUGCCUUUUGAUCUAGCACAGACCCUUCACCCCUCACCUCGAUGCAGCCAGUAGCUUGGAUCCUUGUGGGCAUGAUCCAUAAUCGGUUUCAAGGUAAUAGCCUGCAGCUGGUGUUUUG